GACGAACGCUGGCGGCGUGCUUAAACAUGCAAGGCGAACGGAAAGGCCCAGCUUGCUGGGUGCUCGAGUGGCGAACGGGUGGGUAACACGUGGGUGAUCUGCCUCUAACUUCGGGAUAAGCUUGGGAAACUGGGUCUAAUACCGGAGAGGACAAACGAUUAGUGUCGGUUGUGGAAAGGUUUUUCGGUUAGGGAUGAGCCCGCGGCCUAUCAGCUUGUUGGUGGGGUAAUGGCCUACCAAGGCGACGACGGGGAGCGGGCCUGAGCGGGUGGGCGGCCACAUUGGGUCUGAGCUGCGGCCCAGACUCCUACGCUAGGCGGCAGUGCGGUAUAGUGUCCAAUGGGCUCAAGCCUGAUGCAGCGACGCCGCGUGGGGGAUGACGGCCUUCGGUUUGUAUUCCUCUUUCGUCAGGGACGAAGCUUUGGUGACGGUACCUGUAGAAGAAGCCCCGGCUAACUACGUG
rnacentral:rRNA from 1 species